rnacentral:rRNA from 1 species
UACGUAGGGUCCGAGCGUUGUCCGGAAUCAUUGGGCGUAAAGAGCGUGUAGGCGGUCCGGUAAGUCGGUUGUGAAAGUCCAGGGCUCAACCCUGGGAUGCCGACCGAUACUGUCGGACUAGAGUUCGGAAGAGGCGAGUGGAAUUCCCGGUGUAGCGGUGAAAUGCGCAGAUAUCGGGGAGGAACACCGGUGGCGAAGGCGGGUCUCUGGGCCGAUACUGACGCUGAGGAGCGAAAGCGUGGGGAGCGAACAGG